rnacentral:rRNA from 1 species
UGAGAGUUUGAUCCUGGCUCAGGAUGAACGCUGGCGGAGUGCCUUAAGCAUGCAAGUGAAACGGGUACGUUCGUGCGCAAGCACCGAACGUACUAGUCGCAGACGGGUGAGUAAUACAUAGGAAUCUACCCAUUGGUGUGGAAUAACUAGCCGAAAGGCUGGCUAAUACCGCAUAAUCUCGUGUUUUGCACGAGCAAAUUCUAAACAUUAAAUUCUAAAUCUCAAAUAAAUUCUAAAUAAAAAACAUUAAAUGUUUUAAGUUUAGAUUUUGAAAUUUAUUUGGAUAUUUGGAUUUUUGAUUUUGGAUUUUCUCUUGCAGAACAUGAGUAAAGGGCGUAACUGCCCGCCGAUGGAGGAGCCUAUGUCCUAUCAGUUAGUUGGUGGGGUAAUGGCCUACCAAGACUAUGACGGGUAGCUGGACUGAGAAGUUGGUCAGCCACAAUAGCACUGAGACACGGGCUAUACAUCUACGGAUGGCAGCAACUGGGAAUAUUGCGCAAUGGACGAAAGUCUGACGCAGCGACUCCGCGUGAGGGAUGAAGGCCUUAGGGUCGUAAACCUCUUUUGACAGGGAAGUCCCGAUUUAAUCGGGAGACGGUACCUGUAGAAUAAGCACCUGCUAACCACGUGCCAGCAGCCGCGGUAAUACGUGGGGUGCAAGCGUUAUCCGGAUUUAUUGGGCGUAAAGAGUUCGUAGGUUUUUUGUUAAGUUCCGUUUGAAAUCCCGAGGCUCAACCUCGGACCCGGACGGAAAACUAGCAAAAUUGAGUUUGUCAGGGGGCACUGGAAUUGACGGUGUAGCAGUGAAAUGCGUUGAUAUCGUCAAGAACACCAAGGACGAAGGUAGGUGCCUGGGACACAACUGACACUGAGGAACGAAAGCUAGGGGAGCGAAACAGAUUAGAGACCUGUGUAGUCCUAGCCGUAAACGAUGUCCGUUUGAUCUUCGGGCGCAAGCCUGGGGGUCGGAGCUAACGCGUUAAACGGACCGCCUGGGGAGUACGGUCGCAAGACUAAAACUCAAAGGAAUUGACGGGAAAGAGCACAACCAGGGGAGCAUGUGGUUUAAUUCGAUACUAAGCGAAAGACCUUACCCAGAUUUGACAUGAUACCGUUCACCUAACUGGAAACAGAUGGGGAUCAGCAAUGAUGGUAUCACAGCUGCUGCAUGGCUAUCGUCAGCUCGUGCCGUGGGGUGUCUGCUUAAGUGCAGGAACGAGCGCAACCCCUACCCAAUGUUCAAUGGUCAUUGGGAACUGCCCCGCCUUUGCGGGGAGGAAGGAGGGGAUGAUGUUAAGUCAGCAUGGCGCUUAUAUCUGGGGCGACACACAUCCUACAAUGGGAAGGAACAAUGAGUUGCCAAACCGCAAGGUGGAGCUAAUCUCAACAAAACUUCCCUCAGUUCAGAUUGGGGGCUGCAACCCGCCCCCAUGAAGAUGGACUUGGUAGUAAUCGCGGAUCAGCAGGCCGCGGUGAAUACGUUCUCUCUUUUUGUACACACCGCCCAUCAAGCCAGCAAAGUCGGUAGUACCUGAAAUCUUGCCUCUGGCGGGACAAGGGUAAGAUCGGCGAUGAGGGCUAAGUUGUAAAUUGUUGCAACCGCCAGAAGUAAUUUUGGCGACAAAUCUCGCUGUAUCGGUGAACCCUAAGACUUAUAAUAAGUUAUGGGAAUACCGAGGGAACCCUUCGACUUCGCUCAGGGCAAGCCGUUGGGACACCGUAGAGACUACACGCGAGCGCCUUUAAUAAGUAAAAGCUAUUUAAUGGGAUUGAUUCACGACGCAACUAAACGAAAGACCACUAUCAGAAUCGCUCAGAAAAACGAAUCUUAUUUAAGAUUUAUUUCUGAAGAAAUGAAAUUAUUGGGUAUCAAUUCUUGGAUUUACAAAGAAGGUAAAACCAGAAGUGUUUGGAUUUUAGAGUUUUCUAAAAAACAUUUAGAAAACGUCAAAAUAAAAUCAAAAACAGAAAAAAUUGAUUACCUGAGAGGUUAUUUUGAUGCUGAAGGUGGUAUAGCGAAAGCUAGUUCGGUCAGAUUUUAUUUGUAUUAUUGUCAGAAAAAUUAUUCUGAGAUGGUAUUAAUUAGAAAUUGGUUGACUGAAUUUAAGAUAAAUUGUGGCAAGAUUCAUAAUCCUAGUCGGGACAGAGAUCCAGAUUUUUGGAGAUUUUACAUAUCCGCAAGUGGCUAUAGUAAAUUUGCAAAACUGAUAGGAUCUUCACAUCCUGAUAAGUGGCCAUAUUUAAGGAUGAAGAUAUAGUCCAAGCCUCACGAAAGUCGAGGAACACCUUGAACAAGGUAUCCCUAGCCGAAGCUGGGGAUGGAUCACCUCCUU